rnacentral:rRNA from 1 species
UACGUAGGGGGCUAGCGUUGUCCGGAAUCAUUGGGCGUAAAGAGCGUGUAGGCGGCCCGGUAAGUCCGCUGUGAAAGUCGGGGGCUCAACCCUCGAAUGCCGGUGGAUACUGUCGGGCUAGAGUGCGGAAGAGGCGAGUGGAAUUCCUGGUGUAGCGGUGAAAUGCGCAGAUAUCAGGAGGAACACCAAUGGCGAAGGCAGCUCGCUGGGACGGUACUGACGCUGAGACGCGAAAGCGUGGGGAGCGAACAGG